AUGACCGCUUACUUCUCUCCAGAUUCAUCUUUCACGAUGUACUCUCUUCCCAAAAAUCCACUUCUAUUCUUCUUCGUCUCGGCUUCUCCAACUGCUGGUUCCCAAGUCCCAAGUGCUUACCUCCUUCUGCUGGCUCCUCGCACGCCCCGUCGCCGUGGCCGACGAAGAUGACCGCCAUAGCCGGCACGGCGGGGAGCUCCCAGAUGGGCCUGAGGCUGCCCAUGAAUUCCACCGCGAGGUGGCCCCUCUCACCGCUGGAUGGCGGCCUGAUAUUUUCUAACGGCAACGUCCGCCGUUGGCGACGAACAGGCCCUCCACGGCCGCCGCGCCUCGAGCUUCCAGUUGGGGCGGACCCAUGAAUUCCACCGCCGGGGAGGAGAACUGCAGUGAUUCCUCCUUUUUCCCUCUCUUCAUGUGCCAUAUUUUGCUUCUUUUUGAACUCUCGAAGUCUCGAUCUGUUUUGGUUCAAUGAUGUUUUCCUCUAAUUUUGAUUCUACUGAUUAUGGUUUUCCUGUGCUUUUUUAGGUUCAGCUUGGCUGCUGAACGAAACUUGCAUUGCUGCAAGUACCAUGCAGGCGGUAGACAAGGUGAUGUCCGUACAGGCAAAUAUCUUCCAUGAGCUGGACACAUUUUUUUUCCAUAUAUGCAUGCUAUGUGUUCGACGAAAUGCCUACUACAAAUACGGUGGGUAAGGAAAAUAGAACAACACACGUUUGAUAACUCAAGUCUGUUGAUAUUCGAAGUAGGUAUGGAUUAUGGUUGCUCUCACCGAUAUGCAUUCCUUGCAGCAUGUGUUGGUUCUGAAACCACGAAUUAUCAUCAGACCAUGUUGUUAUGUUAGACCAAUUCAAUUGUGAAAGUUUUUCCUAACAUAUUUACAGUUCACUGCGAUUUGUUGAAAAUGUGGGAAUGCGCCAGAAUACACUAUCAGGUUAUGCCUGAAAGUUAUAAAAGAUAGAGAAAUUUUGAAUCU